AAAAACAUGGCUCUCUGCUUAUAUAUAUAGAGAGUCGAGCCUGCCCAGUGAAUUUUUCAACGGCCGCGGUACUCUGACCGUGCAAAGGUAGCAUAAUCAUUUGCCUUAUAAUUGAAGGCUAGUAUGAAUGGUUUGACGAGAGCAACGCUGUCUCUUUUUUAUUUUCAAGAACUUAACUUUUAGGUGAAGAGGCCUAAAUUUUAUUGAAGGACAAGAAGACCCUGUCGAGCUUAAAAGAUACUAUAGAAGUUUAUAUAUCUUUAAAUAAAUUUUCUAUUAAGCUUUUUAGUUGGGGCGACUAAGGAACAAAAAAAGCUUCUUGUUAAUAUUAAACGGUCACGUUUAGAUCCGGUAAUAAUCGAUUAAAGAAAUUAGUUACCGCAGGGAUAACAGCAUAAUCUCUCUUGAGAGACCUAAUCGAAAGAGGGGGUUGUGACCUCGAUGUUGGACUAGAAUAUCCUAAAGAUGUAGA
rnacentral:rRNA from 1 species